rnacentral:rRNA from 1 species
AUGGAUUGGUCGGCUCUCACCAGCUGCACCACGGUCAUGAUCCUUCUCUUCCUGCCAUUGAGCGCUUCCCAAGACCGGCUUGUCCCCGGCAGGGCGCUGUCCCCUGGUAACACCAUCGUCUCCGAUGAUGGUGGAUUCGCCUUGGGCUUCUUCAACCCCUCCAAUUCUUCUCCGGCCAGCUUGUACCUAGGCGUAUGGUACAACGACAUCCCUGAGCUCACCGUUGUGUGGGUCGCCAACCAAAAUACCCCGGCCACCAACACAACUUCCUCAACACUGAAGCUUUCCCUCACCAACACCUCUAAUCUGGUUAUCUCUGAUGGUGGUGGCGGAAGCCGUGUCAUUUGGACAACAGCCAUAAUGACCACCGGCCUGGUCUCGUCUACCCCGACGGCGGUGCUUCUAAACACCGGUAACUUCAUCAUCCGAUUGUCAAACGGCACCAUCCUGUGGCAGAGCUUCGACCAACGCACAGACACGUUCCUUCCCAGCAUGAAGAUCGGCAUAAACUACAGGACGCGUACCACCACCAAGCGCCUGGUAUCAUGGAGAGGCCCCAGCGACCCCUCGCGGGGGCGCUUCUCCUAUGGCAGCGACACGAACAGGUCAUUCCAAACAUUCUUGUGGGACGGGGAGCACCCGGUAUCUCGUGCCGCCCCCUGGACAGGGUAUCUAGUGAUGAGCCUACGGCAACAACAACUACUUGGGGCCACAAAUAGCAGUGGUCUUAUCAUCUACCUAGCCUAUGUAAACAAUGACGAUGAGGCAUACGUCACUUAUAGCCUCUCCGACGGCGCCCCACGCACCAGGAUGGUGCUAACCUACUAUGGUGAGUUUCAGAUCCAAAGCUGGAGCAGUAAGUCAUCAACAUGGGUUGUCCUCUCGAAGUUUCCAUCCGCUGAAUGCAACCAUUACAGUUAUUGCGGCUCGUAUGGCUACUGUGACGAGACGGCCGAGGCACCCACCGUGCCAACAUGCAGGUGUCUUGAUGGCUUUGAGCCGAGUAGCAUGGAGGAGUGGACUAGUGGCAGAUACUCGGCGGGGUGCCGACGGAAGGAGGCACUGCAAGGGUGCAGUGACGGCUUCGUGGCCUUGCCGGGGAUGAAGUCACCUGAUGGGUUUUUGUUUAUUGCUGGAGGGAGGAGUAAAAUUGAGGAGUGUGCGGCGGAGUGUAGCCGCAAUUGCUCCUGUGUGGCAUAUGUGUUCGCCAACCUGAGCAGCAGCAGGUUCGAAGGACACGUGACGAGGUGCUUGGUGUGGUCUGGGGAGUUAAUAGAUACGGGAAAGGUUGGGGAGCUCACCGGCGAGACACUCUAUCUUCGACGUGCAGGCAUGGCUGCAACCAAAGGUAAAAGAAUAAAGAGCAAUGCAGUGAGGAUUGUGCUUCCAGUUGUAGGCUCUGGUGUUCUAUUACUCAUAUGCAUCUCCCUUGCAUGGUUAAAAUUCAAAGGCAAGAACAAGAAAGGGACAACACAAAAGAAUAUAAGGUUGGAGGGUCUGAGUAUGUCCGAUGAAUUUGAAGAAGAAAACUCUCCCCAUGAUCAAGAAUUUCCAUUUGUAAGAUUAGAAGAAAUUGCUUUCACAACCAACAAUUUCUCUGAAACAUGCAUGAUUGGACGGGGAGGCUUUGGUAAAGUAUACAAGGGAAUGUUAGGUGGUCAAGAAGUUGCAAUCAAGAGGCUAAGUAGAGAUUCUCAACAAGGAACAAAGGAAUUUAGGAAUGAAGUAAUUCUAAUUGCCAAAUUGCAACAUAGAAACUUGGUUCGACUUCUUGGAUGCUGCAGUGAGGGACAUGAAAAGCUCCUGAUAUACGAGUAUCUGCCAAAUAAGAGCUUAGAUGCUACCCUUUUUGAUGAGUCGAGAAAAUUGUUGUUGGAUUGGGCGACACGCUUUCGUAUAAUCAAAGGGGUUGCAAAGGGACUUCGGUAUCUUCACGAAGACUCAAGGUUCACCAUAAUUCAUAGAGACCUCAAAGCUGCAAAUGUUUUGUUAGAUGCAGAUUUUAAACCCAAGAUAGCAGAUUUUGGUAUGGCGAGGAUCUUUGGCGAGAACUUGGAAAAUGCGAAUACCCAACACGUUGUUGGAACAUAUGGUUACAUGGCUCCUGAGUAUGCAAUGGAAGGUGUCUUCUCUACCAAGUCUGACGUCUACAGUUUCGGCGUGUUACUACUGGAGGUUGUAACUGGUAUAAGGAGAAACUCCAUUAGUGAAACCAUGGGAUUCCCUAGCCUCACAGUAUAUUCAUGGAAUAUGUGGAAGGAAGAUAGGGCCAAUGAGCUGCCGGACUCAUCUAUCUUAGAUACUUCACCAGAUGAAAUUCUGCUUUGCAUCCAUGUAGCACUCUUGUGUGUCCAGGAGAACCCCGAUGAUAGGCCGCUCAUGUCAUCUGUUGUGUUUGUCCUAGAGAACGGGAGCACCCCACUUACAUCCCCCAAUCUCCCCGCCUACUUUGCAAGACGAAGUGCUGCAAUGAAUCAAAUCAGAACUGAUGUCCAGACAUCCGUGAACAGUUUUACUCUUACUGAGAUAGAGGGACGAUGA